UGGGGAAUAUUGCACAAUGGGCGCAAGCCUGAUGCAGCCAUGCCGCGUGUAUGAAGAAGGCCUUCGGGUUGUAAAGCACUUUCAGCGGGGAGGAAGGCGAUAAGGUUAAUAACCUUGUGGAUUGACGUUACCCGCAGAAGAAGCACCGGCUAACUCCGUGCCAGCAGCCGCGGUAAUACGGAGGGUGCAAGCGUUAAUCGGAAUUACUGGGCGUAAAGCGCACGCAGGCGGUUUGUUAAGUCAGAUGUGAAAUCCCCGGGCUCAACCUGGGAACUGCAUCUGAUACUGGCAAGCUUGAGUCUCGUAGAGGGGGGUAGAAUUCCAGGUGUAGCGGUGAAAUGCGUAGAGAUCUGGAGGAAUACCGGUGGCGAAGGCGGCCCCCUGGACGAAGACUGACGCUCAGGUGCGAAAGCGUGGGGAGCAAACAGG
rnacentral:rRNA from 1 species